rnacentral:rRNA from 1 species
GAUGAACGCUGGCGGCGUGCCUAAUACAUGCAAGUCGAGCGAACAGACGAGGAGCUUGCUCCUCUGACGUUAGCGGCGGACGGGUGAGUAACACGUGGAUAACCUACCUAUAAGACUGGGAUAACUUCGGGAAACCGGAGCUAAUACCGGAUAAUAUAUUGAACCGCAUGGUUCAAUAGUGAAAGACGGUUUUGCUGUCACUUAUAGAUGGAUCCGCGCCGCAUUAGCUAGUUGGUAAGGUAACGGCUUACCAAGGCAACGAUGCGUAGCCGACCUGAGAGGGGGAUCGGCCACACUGGAACUGAGACACGGUCCAGACUCCUACGGGAGGCAGCAGUAGGGAAUCUUCCGCAAUGGGCGAAAGCCUGACGGAGCAACGCGGCGUGAGUGAUGAAGGUCUUCGGAUCGUAAAACUCUGUUAUUAGGGAAGAACAAAUGUGUAAGUAACUAUGCACGUCUUGACGGUACCUAAUCAGAAAGCCACGGCUAACUACGUG